GGAUGUAUAGCUCAUGGCACAGUGCCUGCUUGGCAAGCAGGAGGUUGUGAGUUUGAUUCCCAUUACCA
rnacentral:tRNA from 1 species